rnacentral:rRNA from 1 species
AGAAUGAACGCUGGCGGCAUGCCUAACACAUGCAAGUCGAACGAAGGCUUCGGCCUUAGUGGCGCACGGGUGCGUAACGCGUGGGAAUCUGCCCUUGGGUUCGGAAUAACAGUUAGAAAUGACUGCUAAUACCGGAUGAUGACGUAAGUCCAAGGAUUCCGGCUAGGGAUGAGCCCGCGGCCUAUCAGCUUGUUGGUGGGGUAAUGGCCUACCAAGGCGACGACGGGUAGCCGGCCUGAGAGGGCGACCGGCCACACUGGGACUGAGACACGGCCCAGACUCCUACGGGAGGCAGCAGUGGGGAAUAUUGCACAAUGGGCGAAAGCCUGAUGCAGCGACGCCGCGUGAGGGAUGACGGCCUUCGGGUUGUAAACCUCUUUCAGCUCCGACGAAGCGAAAGUGACGGUAGGAGCAGAGAAGCACCGGCCAACUACGCGCCAGCAGCCGC